UUUAUAUUUUUAAAUUUUUUUCUUUCCUAUCGGCCACUUUUAAACCAGGGUAAAGCUAUAUACAUAUAUUAACAUUUGCCGGAAAUAUUCUUUAGAGCUCCUCAAAUCCAAAAUUCUCUCUUUUCUAAUUAAAAAAUCCUCACAAGGUGUCUGUUGACAAAAUAGCUUAGAUGCGAUGAGGUGGCUAUUUAAUUAAGUCCAAUAAAUCUGUACAUAAUUAUGUAUGUAUGUAUGUACGCAAGGCAAGCAAAUUUUCUAAGGCCAACUUUAACUUUUUUGCUUAACUUUUGAAAUUUCGUUUAUAAUCUAUCAUUUGUGGAGAGCGCAUUUCUUACCUUUAAAGAAAACAUGAAAUUACAUCGAUUUUGUUUCUUAUUUAGCAUACAUAUUUCUAAGUUGAUUUUCCAUAGAUGAAAACGUAACCGUCGAAAAGAUAUUAGCUUAAAUAAAGAAAAACUUAACGAUUAUGCAUACGUGCAUACAAACACAUGCACACACAUGUAUGUACAUAAGUUUCCAUGACAUGCAAUGCGUUCGAGUCGAAAGUGUAGAAAAAGUGAAGUAGCAAAACGGAAUUACUAAUUGUGUGAAAUUUUCAUAGUUGCGUCGAGUUUCGCCGCUGCUGCGUGUGAACGAAUCGAGUGUGUCCCCGCUGUUGUCGUACUAGUAUAGGCUAUCUUAAUUAAUUGUAAUAACGAAUUAUAUAACAAAACAAAAAAAAGAAACUACAUAAAAGAGUACCGUUUCAUAUUUGAUAUAAUUACACGAAGAUUUGUAAAAUUUAGCAGCAAAUUCGUCAACUCAAAGAAACACAAGUAAUUUAUGAAACGAACGAGUAUCAAUCAAAUUGUAUGAAUUCAGUGGCACAGUAAAAAUUGAACUUAAAUCACACACUUAAACAUAAUUACAUAAUAUUGUAUACAAUACAUAUACAUACAUACAUGCAUCAUACAAUACAUGUAAGUUUAUUCAGAUAAACUUAUAAUUAUAAAUGAUUAUUAAAGUAAUAUAAAAAGUUAACGAAACGCAUUUUCAAUUAUACACAAAAUAACGGAUAAUUUACGACUGCAGCGAUGUCCGAUUACGAAAAUGUAAUUCAAAAAUCUAACGGUGAAUACAUAACGAUGCAAACUUUGAAGAUAUGGAUGAUGAACGUUUGUUCAGUAUAACUCCGACUUUCAGAGUUUCUUUGCAUGUUGUUGUUGUUCUAGUGGGUACCUAGUCGCCGUUAGGAUUGUAAGGAUUAGCUAAGUUGUCGACGACGUCAUCUAAUGGUUUAUAUUUUUUAAAGUCAAAGGAAACUAAGUAUAGCUUAAGGCAGCGGAAUUCGUUAAUGCUUUCAUAAAAGAAUCCAAUGCUAGGCAUGCUGGGGUCAUUGACCUAAAUAACGUUAGUUUCAUGUUCCUAAAAUUAAUUAGAGAACAGAGCAAAGCGAACGGGUCGGGUGAAAAGUUAGACAAAACGAAAUAUCUCCAUCUACAUAUUAAAUAGUCAGUGCAUUAUUAUAUUUACCACGGAUUCAGUUUCAGAAAAAAUUAGAUUUAGUAAAAUGUAGUAAAACGCUUCUUAUUUUCAAAUCAGAGCAUACUUAUAAUGAUGUGCUCCCAGAAUAAUCGAUUACCUUAAAUAAAUAACAUAAAUAAGUCGUCCACAACUGAAACUCAAAUAUCGGCAUGCGCAGAAGAUGUCUGUAAAAGGCAAACAAGUUGGUUACGUGCAGGACUAUUCAUUACCAGAAUCAAGAUGCCGUGCAAAGGAUGUGAAAAAGAAUGCAAAUGCACACCAGAAAAAUGUGAUGAACAAUGCAAGUGCGCCAAGGACAAUAAGUGCAAUUGCCAUGCCGCCAAGGAUGGAAAGACUGAAGGGGCGCCACCAAAGUCCUGCUGCAGCGGAGGCAGCGAAGAAAAGAAGUGUGGCAAUUAGACUGAGUGUAAUAUAAUGCUUAUGAUGAUAAUAUUGAUUUGAAAACUGUAUUCGUAUAUGCCAAUAAAUACUUAAAACUGCGUCUUUGAAAAA